UACGGGGGGGGCAAGCGUUGUUCGGAAUUACUGGGCGUAAAGGGCUCGUAGGUGGCCAACUAAGUCAGACGUGAAAUCCCUCGGCUUAACCGGGGAACUGCGUCUGAUACUGGAUGGCUUGAGUUCGGGAGAGGGAUGUGGAAUUCCAGGUGUAGCGGUGAAAUGCGUAGAUAUCUGGAGGAACACCGGUGGCGAAGGCGGCAUCCUGGACCGGUAUUGACGCUGAGGCGCGAAAGCUAGGGGAGCAAACGGGG
rnacentral:rRNA from 1 species